rnacentral:lncRNA from 1 species
CAUGAAUUUUAGCUAACACAAUAUAAUAUCACACCUAAAACAUGAAUUAAAGAAAAGCUGAAAGCUUUUAACCUUUUGUAGAAAAGUAGCAAAGUACUUUUGUGUUUUGCAAUAAAACCUUUACAUAGAUUAGGCUCUCAUUAACUUAAAAAUACAUUUAAAUUGUAUCUCAGUGUAAAAAGUAACAUAGAACUUUACAUAACUUAUUGAUAACAAGUCCAGUUAUAGAACACAAAUGAUAUAAAUAAAUCUCCAACAUGUUUCUUUUAAGCCUAAAAUUACCAUAUAACUUUAGAACACAGCUUGAUAUAAUGCUCUUUCUAAAGCUUCUACCUUACAGACUUGUAUACCUGGAAGAUAUGAACACAUUAAUAGCACCACAAUUACAUUGAUGUUUUUAUAUUAACCAAGUUUAGCUUUUAAAGAAAUAACAUAGCACAAUUCUCUAAAACAACAGCACUUGUUUAACCAGCUGUUUAAUUUCUUUAAGAUUACUUGCUCAAAAACUUACACUUAUAACCAACUUACACAGACCUUCUUUAUAUCACUUACUUAAACCCUCUUAAUUACUUAAUCAUAUAGACUCUUAUCCAGAAACACAUUUUCCCUCUGUUAAAUCCAUACCUAGAAACUUUUAAUUUCUCUUUUUCAUCUGUUAAUCUCCUUCUGUUCACAUUUUGAAACAAUACUUGUAAAUUUUUGAAUUUAGGCAGAUUAUUUCAUAGACAUCAACAUUUUAUUAGGGCCUUUUUUGAACACCUAGAAAAACUUAUAAGAUUAAUUUUAAAGACGUCUUUACUUUUAUCUGUUUACCUCAUUUAAAUUGAACCAUUUGAAUCAUGUGAAUCAAAGAUAUUUGGAUCCAUUUUUUUUUUUAAUUUUUCAUGAGUGCUCCUCAUAUCUAUCAGUUGUCAUAUCACUGCAUGAUAUAUGGACAUACACACAUACAGACAUACCGACAUACAACACGUAACACAAGUGUAACACAUAACACAAUAGUAAAGGCCUUGUAGCUUUUCUCAGGUGAAAUCUCAUUGCAAUGUUUAAAAAAAACUCCAGUUGAUCAAAAAUAGAACUUAUCAGAAAAACAUUAACUUGUCUGUAGGAUCAAAAUCGUGAGCUCAAAAAAAAUACAGAAUCUAAGAAAAGGCAAAAGUCCUAGGAAAAAAUUGACCGGCCAGUAAUUAGUAAAUGCCAUACAAUUUACUCUUUGGUUUAAUCUAGUUUGAGUUCAGAUAAAAGACACCUUUACUUUUUUUUUCCUUGGGCCUCAGAUCUGUCUCCUUCUGAGCUCCAGGCUUCUUCUAUUUGCAUUUCAACUUAAAUCCUGCCUGAGGUCUGGAAGGAGCAAGAAAAGCUGGAAUUUCGAGGAGAAGCCUCAUGGCCAUAAGGCACAAUUUUCAGGUUUGGAUGUUGAAAAUUAUGAUACAAGUUUAAGAUACAAUUCUCAAAAUUUCAUACCUUUACAUCUUCCUACACUAGAAAAACUUGCUCACACAAAACUGAAAAUAGGAUCUUAUUUAAUGAUAUAAAGGCUACCAUCAGAAGAAAUUUCUUCAGGAUCAUUAAACCACUUUCUUUGUUCUGAAGUUCCUAAAGUAGUAUUAAGUUACAUUAAAUCACCUGAAAAAAAUUUUAAAAGAGAACCACACACUACCAUGUAUAUCCAAAAUUAAGCUUUGAAAAUUCCCAAGACUGUUGCUAUUCAAUGUCAUUUCAAUAAGCCAGACCAACGUUCCAAUUCAACACUUUUUUCCUAAAUCUUGCACACUGAGAGGAACAGAUACCAAAUCAUAAUUUACUAUCCUUGCCCAAAUUAAUGCACUGGUACACCUAGUGAAAUCUUCUCAGGCUACCUAGUUCAAAAAUUGAUGAAAAAAAUAAAACUAAAUGAUUGGGAGUUACUUGCCAACUUGGAAGUAGAGUUCGUUAAUUUUCCAUCCUAAGUAUUUAAGUUUCUAGCAUGAACUAUCUGAAAUCACAAAGUAAACAAUUGCCUAAACCCAACUUUUAACUGCAAGAUUAUGCAAUGCUUCAAACUCAUUUAGAUACCAGAUGUUACAAUGAAACAUCAUCUUUUAGACACACAUUUAGCCUAGAUUAUCCCCAGAAAACAAUCUAUAAUAACCUUUAAAACAGGCCAGAUAAGAAAAAAAUCUCUCCAGGUUUUUAACUCCCAUUUAAUUAUGACUUCUACAUCAGUGGCACCAUAGAUUUCCCAAUGAGUGGACCAGAUGUUCUCACAUAGGGGCAACUAUAGGUGUAAAAUCAAGGGUCUCAGUGU